AUACGUAGGUGGCAAGCGUUGUCCGGAUUUACUGGGUGUAAAGGGCGUGUAGCCGGGAAGGCAAGUCAGAUGUGAAAUCCACGGGCUCAACUCGUGAACUGCAUUUGAAACUGUUUUUCUUGAGUAUCGGAGAGGCAAUCGGAAUUCCUAGUGUAGCGGUGAAAUGCGUAGAUAUUAGGAGGUACACCAGUGGCGAAGGCGGCCUGCUGGACGACAACUGACGCUGAGGCGCGAAAGCGUGGGGAGC
rnacentral:rRNA from 1 species